rnacentral:misc_RNA from 1 species
UCGAGUUACCGCUCCUUAUAACCCUUUGUGAACAUACCUCAAACGUUGCCUCGGCGGGCAGCCGGAGCCCAGCUCCGGCGCCCGGAGCCGCCUUCUCGGCGCGCCCCACCCGCCGGCGGACCACUAAACUCUAUUGCAACGACGUCUCUUCUGAGUGGUACAAGCAAAUAAUCA